rnacentral:rRNA from 1 species
CUACGUGCCAGCAGCCGCGGUAAUACGGAGGAUGCGAGCGUUAUCCGGAUUUAUUGGGUUUAAAGGGUGCGUAGGUUGUUCGGUAAGUCAGCGGUGAAACCUGAGCGCUCAACGUUCAGCCUGCCGUUGAAACUGCCGGGCUUGAGUUCAGUGGCGGCAGGCGGAAUUCGUGGUGUAGCGGUGAAAUGCAUAGAUAUCACGAGGAACUCCGAUUGCGAAGGCAGCUUGCCAUACUGCGACUGACACUGAAGCACGAAGGCGUGGGUAUCAAACAGGAUUAGAUACCCUGGUAGUCCGCACAGUAAACGAUGGAUGCCCGCUGUUGGUACCUGGUAUCAGCGGCUAAGCGAAAGCAUUAAGCAUCCCACCUGGGGAGUACGCCGGCAACGGUGAAACUCAAAGGAAUUGACGGGGGCCCGCACAAGCGGAGGAACAUGUGGUUUAAUUCGAUGAUACGCGAGGAACCUUACCCGGGCUUGAAUUGCAGAGGAAGGAUUUAGAGAUA